rnacentral:rRNA from 1 species
UACGUAGGUGGCAAGCGUUGUCCGGAUUUAUUGGGCUUAAAGGGUGCGUAGGCGGUUUUGUAAGUCAGUGGUGAAAUACUCUAGCUUAACUAGAGGGGUGCCAAUGAUACUGCGGAACUUGAGUACAGAUGAGGUAGGCGGAAUUGACGGUGUAGCGGUGAAAUGCAUAGAUAUCGUCAAGAACACCGAUAGCGAAGGCAGCUUACUGGGCUGUAACUGACGCUGAUGCACGAAAGUGUGGGGAGCAAACAGG